UUUUCAGCAUGAAAAAUUAGAUUAGAUUCAUCAUGAAAAGUCAGAGAAGAAAAGUUCUUCAUAAGGGUGUGAAAGGAAAAGAGAGGUUCUCUCUUAUGCAUGGAAAUUGAGAAGAAAGGGUUCUUCUCUUGAUCUCUAUUGUAGAGAUCAAAUGCAUGGAUCCAGAAAAAAAAAAGAUAGAGUCUCCUUAUUCUUCAUCUUCAUCAUGUUCUUCUUAGAUCAGUCAAAGGAUGGUGUCUUCGCGAGCUAGCACUCCC
rnacentral:lncRNA from 1 species